UCGUGUCGUGAUGGCGCAGCGCAUAUCGGGCCCGUAGACGAUCGCAUUCGCUAAUGCAGCCCGUCGCGAGUUACGGCGGUGUCUGUACUGAUAUGUUUUCCCCGGACUUGUGGAGCGUUUCUGACCGUGACACUCUUCCACUGGCGAGUACCUCGACUUUUACGAUUGGCCGUUGCAGAAGCCAUACUUGUUUCUGGGAGUAUCAGCAACUUUGUUUCCUUUCCUUUACUGCGAUAUCAAUUAUAAGGGCACUCCAGCCAAAUUUUGCUGCCAUCGUCGGCGUCGCCGUGAAGUUCCGUAAAUAUCUAGGUAUAUGUUUGCUAUGUGCCAUGCGGUAUAUGCGGGUUAUAUAUUGCCACGCCAUUCUAUCAGUGCGUGGGCAGUGGGGAUAGUUUCACUAUUGCCAAUAAAGCGUCUCCUUGACACUGGUAGUAGCCAAAGGAAAAUUCAAUAACUUUUGCAUAUGUGGCUCUAUCUCUUCAACCUACAUAGCAGCUAAGUAAAGUGUUGCAAUUAUGUGCAAAAAUAACAUGUGUCAUUGGCUGUUUUCUUUUUCGGCGUCCUAUAUCUUUAUUUAGUCGCUUCAUUUGUUGCACCAGCGGUCGGCGCUGUGGCUCUUAUCGCUUCGGCUGCCAUUCUGUUCGUCUGCUCCUGCCACUUUCUGUGCACGUGCACGCUUUUUCGUGUGCUCUGCAGUUAGGAAUUUCCGUGCCAGCGAACGUUCCGGCAAUGUCGGAAAAACUGAGGAAAGAGCACAAGGCGUGUUGCGGCGGCUGGCUGGUGUGGCGGCUCGGGGAGGAACAGCAGGGCGAAAUUUUUCCGUUUCCCAGCGGACGAGAGAUGUGACAUAUGGCGAAAUUACGCUAUAUGGGGAGUCCUGGCGGGGCUGACAUGGGAGCAGAUGUGCAACGGCUACCGCCUCUGCUCGGAACACUUCGCAGAAAAGGCCUUUGCCGGGCCUGGCCAAAACAAGACUGUUGUGAUCAGCUGUGCAACUGUUGCAGCGGAAGAACAGUCCCUGAUCGAUGAAUUAUCUACAGCACCGCAGCAAGGCCCAAAGCGGAAAAUAUACUCGCCAGAGACCCCAGGCGUCAUCAACCGACUGAGGAAUGAUACACAAAGGUAUCGCGUCAGUGGAAGAGCUGCCGGAACAUUACCACGGGGCAAGCACUAGAGGAGUUGAUGUAUCAUGUGAGCCCAGAGUUCUACCAACUCUAGCAGAGCCAGGUGACACUCCAUUAUCGCAAGAGGAAGAGAAGGUCAUGGAGAUAUGUUUUCUGGAGCACGUUGAUGUGGUCGCGCUGUUGUGCGGUGUGUCCACUGCACUGAAAGAUAAGCUAAACAGCAGUCUACUAUAAGAAAUAUUUUGCUCUAAUAAAUGUCUCAUUGACCUGCUGCA